GUGCUCGCUUCAGCAGCACAUAUAGUGAAACUGGAAUGAUACAGAGAAGAUUAUCAUGGCCCCUGCACAAGGAUGAUAGGCAAAUUUGUGAAGCAUUCCAUAUUUUU